rnacentral:rRNA from 1 species
CGCCAGACUCCUACGGGAGGCAGCAGUGGGAAUAUUGCACAAUGGGGGAAACCCUGAUGCAGCGACGCCGCGUGAGUGAAGAAGUAUUUCGGUAUGUAAAGCUCUAUCAGCAGGGAAGAAAAUGACGGUACCUGAUUAAGAAGCCCCGGCUAACUACGUGCCAGCAGCCGCGGUAAUACGUAGGGGGCAAGCGUUAUCCGGAUUUACUGGGUGUAAAGGGAGCGUAGACGGUGAUGCAAGUCAGAAGUGAAAGCCCGGGGCUCAACUCCGGGACUGCUUUUGAAACUGUGUGACUGGAGUGCAGGAGAGGUAAGCGGAAUUCCUGGUGUAGCGGUGAAAUGCGUAGAUAUCAGGAGGAACACCAGUGGCGAAGGCGGCUUACUGGACUGUAACUGACGUUGAGGCUCGAAAGCGUGGGGAGCAAACAGGAUUAGAUACCCUAGUA